UGGGGAAUAUUGGGCAAUGGGCGAAAGCCUGACCCAGCAACGCCGCGUGAAUGAUGAAGGCCUUCGGGUUGUAAAAUUCUUUGGACAGGGACGAAGAAAGUGACGGUACCUGUAGAACAAGCCACGGCUAACUACGUGCCAGCAGCCGCGGUAAUACGUAGGUGGCGAGUGUUAUCCGGAUUUACUGGGCGUAAAGGGCGUGUAGGCGGCUAGAUAAGAGUGAUGGUUAAAUCCAAGGCUUAACCUUGGGGUUCAUUACAAACUGUUUAGCUUGAGUGCUGGAGAGGAUAGUGGAAUUCCUAGUGUAGCGGUAAAAUGCGUAGAUAUUAGGAGGAACACCGGUGGCGAAGGCGGCUAUCUGGACAGUAACUGACGCUGAGGCGCGAAAGCGUGGGGAGCAAACAGG
rnacentral:rRNA from 1 species